rnacentral:rRNA from 1 species
GAUGAACGCUAGCGGCAGGCUUAACACAUGCAAGUCGAGGGGCAGCACGGGUAGCAAUACCUGGUGGCGACCGGCGCAAGGGUGCGUAACGCGUGAGCAACAUGCCCUAUACAGGGGGAUAAUCCAGGGAAACUUGGUCUAAUAUCCCAUAGCAUUUAGAGGAGGCAUCUUCACUAAAUUAAAGCUUCGGUGGUAUAGGAUUGGCUCGCGUGACAUUAGCUAGAUGGUGAGGUAACGGCCCACCAUGGCUAUGAUGUCUAGGGGUUCUGAGAGGAAGACCCCCCAACUGGGACUGAGACACGGCCCAGACUCCUACGGGAGGCAGCAGUGAGGAAUAUUGGACAAUGGAUGGAAAUCUGAUCCAGCCAUGCCGCGUGCAGGAAGACGGCCCUAUGGGUUGUAAACUGCUUUUAUAUGGGAGCAAUAAGGUUUACGAGUAGACCGAUGAGAGUACCAUAUGAAUAAGCAUCGGCUAA